GAUGAACGCUGGCGGCGUGCCUAAUACAUGCAAGUCGAGCGAACGGACGAGAAGCUUGCUUCUCUGAUGUUAGCGGCGGACGGGUGAGUAACACGUGGAUAACCUACCUAUAAGACUGGGAUAACUUCGGGAAACCGGAGCUAAUACCGGAUAAUAUUUUGAACCGCAUGGUUCAAAAGUGAAAGACGGUCUUGCUGUCACUUAUAGAUGGAUCCGCGCUGCAUUAGCUAGUUGGUAAGGUAACGGCUUACCAAGGCAACGAUGCAUAGCCGACCUGAGAGGGUGAUCGGCCACACUGGAACUGAGACACGGUCCAGACUCCUACGGGAGGCAGCAGUAGGGAAUCUUCCGCAAUGGGCGAAAGCCUGACGGAGCAACGCCGCGUGAGUGAUGAAGGUCUUCGGAUCGUAAAACUCUGUUAUUAGGGAAGAACAUAUGUGUAAGUAACUGUGCACAUCUUGACGGUACCUAAUCAGAAAGCCACGGCUAACUACGUGCCAGCAGCCGCGGUAAUACGUAGGUGGCAAGCGUUAUCCGGAAUUAUUGGGCGUAAAGCGCGCGUAGGCGGUUUUUUAAGUCUGAUGUGAAAGCCCACGGCUCAACCGUGGAGGGUCAUUGGAAACUGGAAAACUUGAGUGCAGAAGAGGAAAGUGGAAUUCCAUGUGUAGCGGUGAAAUGCGCAGAGAUAUGGAGGAACACCAGUGGCGAAGGCGACUUUCUGGUCUGUAACUGACGCUGAUGUGCGAAAGCGUGGGGAUCAAACAGGAUUAGAUACCCUGGUAAUCCACGCCGUAAAGAUGAGUGCUAAGUGUUAGGGGGUUUCCGCCCCUUAGUGCUGCAGCUAACGCAUUAAGCACUCCGCCUGGGGAGUACGACCGCAAGGUUGAAACUCAAAGGAAUUGACGGGGACCCGCACAAGCGGUGGAGCAUGUGGUUUAAUUCGAAGCAACGCGAAGAACCUUACCAAAUCUUGACAUCCUUUGACAACUCUAGAGAUAGAGCCUUCCCCUUCGGGGGGGCAAAGUGACAGGUGGUGCAUGGUUGUCGUCAGCUCGUGUCGUGAGAUGUUGGGUUAAGUCCCGCAACGAGCGCAACCCUUAAGCUUAGUUGCCAUCAUUAAGUUGGGCACUCUAAGUUGACUGCCGGUGACAAACCGGAGGAAGGUGGGGAUGACGUCAAAUCAUCAUGCCCCUUAUGAUUUGGGCUACACACGUGCUACAAUGGACAAUACAAAGGGCAGCGAAACCGCGAGGUCAAGCAAAUCCCAUAAAGUUGUUCUCAGUUCGGAUUGUAGUCUGCAACUCGACUACAUGAAGCUGGAAUCGCUAGUAAUCGUAGAUCAGCAUGCUACGGUGAAUACGUUCCCGGGUCU
rnacentral:rRNA from 1 species